rnacentral:rRNA from 1 species
GGUUAAGUGAAUAAGGGCGCACGGUGGAUGCCUUGGCACUAGGAGCCGAUGAAGGACGGGACUAACACCGAUAUGCUUUGGGGAGCUGUACGUAAGCUAUGAUCCAGAGAUUUCCGAAUGGGGGAACCCAACAUCUUUAAUAGGAUGUUACGAUUGUGUGAAUACAUAGCACAUUCGAGGUAGACGCAGAGAACUGAAACAUCUAAGUACCUGCAGGAAGAGAAAGAAAAUUCGAUUCCCUGAGUAGCGGCGAGCGAAACGGGAAAAGCCCAAACCAGCAAGCUUGCUUGUUGGGGUUGUAGGACUCCAAUAUGGUAGUUCUUUCAGAUAGUCGAAUGACUUGGAAAAGUCAGUCAAAGAGGGUAAAAACCCCGUAGACGAAAUGUGGAAGACACCUAGGAGGAUCCUGAGUACGGCGGAACACGAGAAAUUCCGUCGGAAUCCGGGAGGACCAUCUCCCAAGGCUAAAUACUCCCUAGUGACCGAUAGUGAACCAGUACCGUGAGGGAAAGGUGAAAAGCACCCCGGAAGGGGAGUGAAAUAGAACCUGAAACCGUGUGCCUACAACAAGUCAAAGCCCGUUAAUGGGUGAUGGCGUGCCUUUUGUAGAAUGAACCGGCGAGUUACGAUUGCAUGCGAGGUUAAGUUGAAGAGACGGAGCCGCAGCGAAAGCGAGUCUGAAUAGGGCGUUUGAGUAUGUAGUCGUAGACCCGAAACCAUGUGAUCUACCCAUGUCCAGGUUGAAGGUGCGGUAAAACGCACUGGAGGACCGAACCCACGUACGUUGAAAAGUGCGGGGAUGAGGUGUGGGUAGCGGAGAAAUUCCAAACGAACUUGGAGAUAGCUGGUUCUCUCCGAAAUAGCUUUAGGGCUAGCCUCGGAAUUGAGAAUGAUGGAGGUAGAGCACUGUUUGGACUAGGGGCCCAUCUCGGGUUACCGAAUUCAGAUAAACUCCGAAUGCCAUUCAUUCAUAUCCGGGAGUCAGACUGUGAGUGAUAAGAUCCAUAGUCGAAAGGGAAACAGCCCAGACCACCAGCUAAGGUCCCAAAAUAUAUGUUAAGUGGAAAAGGAUGUGGGGUUGCACAGACAACUAGGAUGUUGGCUUAGAAGCAGCCACCAUUUAAAGAGUGCGUAAUAGCUCACUAGUCGAGUGACCCUGCGCCGAAAAUGUACCGGGGCUAAACAUAUUACCGAAGCUGUGGAGUACACCUUUAGGUGUAUUGGUAGGAGAGCGUUCUAAGGGCGUUGAAGGCAGAUCGUGAGGACUGCUGGAGCGCUUAGAAGUGAGAAUGCCGGUAUGAGUAGCGAAAGACAGGUGAGAAUCCUGUCCACCGAAUGACUAAGGUUUCCUGGGGAAGGCUCGUCCGCCCAGGGUUAGUCGGGACCUAAGCCGAGGCCGACAGGCGUAGGCGAUGGAUAACAGGUUGAUAUUCCUGUACCCGUUGUUUUUGUUUGAGCAAUGGAGGGACGCAGGAGGCUAAGGAAUACAGACGAUCGGAAAUGUCUGUCCAAGCAGUAAGUCUGAAGAGGAGU